rnacentral:rRNA from 1 species
AACGAACGCUGGCGGCAGGCCUAACACAUGCAAGUCGAACGGACCCUUCGGGGUUAGUGGCGGACGGGUGAGUAACACGUGGGAACGUGCCUUUAGGUUCGGAAUAGCUCCUGGAAACGGGUGGUAAUGCCGAAUGUGCCCUUCGGGGGAAAGAUUUAUCGCCUUUAGAGCGGCCCGCGUCUGAUUAGCUAGUUGGUGAGGUAAAGGCUCACCAAGGCGACGAUCAGUAGCUGGUCUGAGAGGAUGACCAGCCACAUUGGGACUGAGACACGGCCCAAACUCCUACGGGAGGCAGCAGUGGGGAAUCCUGCGCAAUGGGCGAAAGCCUGACGCAGCCAUGCCGCGUGAAUGAUGAAGGUCUUAGGAUUGUAAAAUUCUUUCACCGGGGACGAUAAUGACGGUACCCGGAGAAGAAGCCCCGGCUAACUUCGUGCCAGCCGCCGCGGUAACAC